CCUACGGGGGGCAGCAGUGAGGAAUAUUGGUCAAUGGCCGGAAGGCUGAACCAGCCAUGCCGCGUGAAGGUCAGUGCCCUAUGGGCGUUAAACUUCUUUUGUGCGGGAGCAAUAAUGGUCACGUGUGGCCAGACGAGAGUACCGUACGAAUAAGCAUCGGCUAACUCCGUGCCAGCAGCCGCGGUAAUACGGGGGAUGCAAGCGUUAUCCGGAUUUAUUGGGUUUAAAGGGUGCGUAGGCUGUGAGGUAAGUCAGCGGUGAAAUGCCCCCGCUCAACGGGGUGAAGUGCCAUUGAUACUGCCUGGCUGGAAUGCGGAUGCCGUGGGAGGAAUGUGUGGUGUAGCGGUGAAAUGCAUAGAUAUCACACAGAACACCGAUUGCGAAGGCAUCUCACGAAUCCGCGAUUGACGCUGAUGCACGAAAGCGUGGGUAUCAAACAGGAUUAGAUACCCCACUAGUC
rnacentral:rRNA from 1 species